rnacentral:lncRNA from 1 species
GACUAAGCUAUGCAGUCUUGAACAUAUACCCAAGCUAAUAGUCUGUAAUUGCAGGUGGGAUUCAGCCCUCUCCACAAAUUGUGUCUGAUGCCUCUGGGACAUAACCACAUUACUGGAACCUCAGAAAACUCCAGGAGGCUCCUUCAGCUGCCCUGGUUUCAGCAGGUUUAUGCUGGCCUCUUUUGGACUCUCUACAACAGUAAUCCCAAGAGCCCAGGGGCCAACUGGAAAUGCAGAGAAGGUGGAAUGGAAAUCUGCAGACACUGAGAAAGAAAGUAACAAGCACAACAGAGGAGACAAAAUUGCUAAAAAGGCGAAGAGAGAAGAUGCAAGAGGUGUCAUGUAGAAAGCGAGUAGCAGAAAGCAUCAAAAAGCAUGAAGAAGGUCACAAGACAGUAAGAAUGAACUGCAAUCAGGUUGAAAUUGUUAAUGUUCUUCAAACAAUUGACUCUCUCAUGAGCAAAUCGCACUUCGAGAGAGAUGAACUGCAGAGAACCUUGAAACACUCUCUGUUGAAAGAGCCACAAACUGAGAAUUACUGGCACCAAAUAAAUGAGUCAGAAAGUUAUGCAAACACAGCAUCGACUGAUUUCUAUAUUAUUUGUUUCAUUAAAAAAAAGGACAAAAACAAUUCAUCAUCAUAUUCAACACUAUCAUGCAUUGAUGAAUUUACCCAUGAAAGUAAAGGAGCUGAAAAAAUAUCCAGAGUUUAACACAAGUCUCACAUACGAUGCUGGCGUUCCCAGUGUUCAGAGGAACUCAUGUACGUCUCACAUUAAUAAGGGGCCUUGGUGAUGAUGUCAGUUGGCCACUCCGCUGCUGGGCGUUGUGGUGAGUAUGGCCUCAAACUGGUGAGCAAGCCAAUGCAUAAGUUUGUAAUCUCUGCCAGACAUCUGUGAAUGCACUGAAGAAGUCCUCAGGGUAGAAAUGCUGGCGUUAUUCCACUUGGAAUGACUUUUUAAAUAAAAGCAGCACGUAUGAGAGAGAGGAGGUUAUU